GGUUUUGCAUUCCCCUCCCCCCUCCCAGCCUGUGACACACUUUCUCUCCUUUUUUCUCUUUUGCCUCCUUUGGCCUCCGGACUGCUGCCCGUGUGGCGCGCGGCCCCCUACCGGCCCUGCAGCCCCUGGGUCGGCUGCGCCCCUCGGAGGGUCCGGGCGGUGGGGAGCGAGGGCCGCGGCCCCGGGGGGAAGACGGCGGCCUGCGCGGAGCCUGAGCGGCCCAGAUCCUGCCCAUCAGACCUCCACAUCCGGAAGGAAACUGGCUCAGGGAAGGACCAGCCCCAGCCAGAAGGAGUAAAAGGAGUAAAAGUCACCUCCUGUCCAUUGGGCGCCGACUCUAUGCCAGGAGGGGCGCCAGAGAUGGAUGACUAUAUGCAGACACUGAAGGAUGAAGAGGAUGCCCUGUGGGAGAAUGUGGAGUGCAACCGGCACAUGCUGAGUCGCUACAUCAACCCGGCCAAGCUCACCCCCUACCUGCGCCAGUGCAAGGUCAUUGAUGAACAAGAUGAAGAUGAAGUGCUUAAUGCUCCCAUGUUGCCGUCCAAGAUCAACCGGGCAGGCCGACUGCUGGACAUUCUACAUACGAAGGGGCAGAGGGGCUACGUGGCCUUCUUGGAGAGUCUGGAGUUUUACUACCCAGAAUUGUACAAACUGGUGACUGGAAAGGAACCCACUCGUAGAUUCUCCACCAUUGUGGUGGAGGAGGGCCACGAGGGCCUCACGCACUUCCUGAUGAACGAGGUCAUCAAGUUGCAGCAGCAGAUGAAGGCCAAGGACCUGCAGCGGUGUGAGCUGCUGGCCAAGUCACGACAGCUGGAGGACGACAGGAAGCAGCUGACGCUGACACAGGUGGAGCUGCUGACCUUCCGGGACCGGUACUACAAGAUGAAGGAGGAGCGGGACAGCUACAACGACGAGCUGGUCAAGGUGAAGGAUGACAACUACAACUUGGCCAUGCGCUACGCCCAGCUCAGCGAAGAGAAAAACAUGGCGGUCAUGCGGAGCCGGGACCUCCAGCUCGAGAUCGACCAGCUCAAGCAUCGAUUGAAUAAGAUGGAGGAGGAAUGCAAGCUGGAGAGGAAUCAGUCGCUGAAACUAAAGAACGACAUCGAGAACCGGCCCAAGAAGGAGCAAGUUCUGGAGCUGGAGCGGGAGAAUGAAAUGCUGAAGACCAAAAUCCAGGAGCUGCAGUCCAUCAUCCAGGCCGGGAAGCGCAGCCUGCCGGACUCGGACAAGGCCAUCCUGGACAUCCUGGAGCAUGACCGCAAGGAGGCCCUGGAGGACCGGCAGGAGCUCGUCAACAAGAUCUACAACCUGCAGGAGGAGGUCCGCCAGGCGGAGGAGCUGAGGGACAAGUACCUGGAGGAGAAGGAGGACCUGCAGCUGAAGUGCUCGACCCUGGGGAAGGACUGCGAGAUGUACAAGCACCGCAUGAACACCCUCAUGCUGCAGCUGGAGGAGGUGGAGCGGGAGCGCGACCAGGCCUUCCAUUCCCGGGACGAGGCGCAGACCCAGUACUCCCAGUGCUUAAUCGAAAAGGACAAGUACAGGAAACAGAUCCGCGAGCUGGAGGAGAAGAACGACGAGAUGAGGAUUGAGAUGGUCCGGCGGGAAGCCUGCAUCGUGAACCUGGAGAGCAAACUCCGGCGCCUCUCCAGGGACAGUGGCGGCCUCGAGCAGAGUUUGCCCAGGAACCUGCCAGUGACCAUCAUCUCUCAGAACUUUGGGGACACCAGCCCCAGGACCAACGGUCAGGAGGCUGACGAUUCUUCAACCUCAGAGGAUUCGCCAGAGGACAGCCGCUACUUCCUGCCCUACCACCCGCCCAAGCGCAGGAUGAACCUGAAGGGCAUCCAGCUGCAGAGAGCCAAAUCCCCCAUCAGCCUGAAGCGAACAUCAGAUUUUCAAGGGAGGGGACACGAAGAAGACGUGACGGACGCCAGCCCCAGCUCCUCCGGGUCGCUGCCCAUCACCACCUCCUUCUCCAAGAUGCAGCCCCAUCGAAGCCGUUCCAGCAUCAUGUCAAUCACAGCCGAGCCCCCAGGGAACGACUCCAUCGUCAGACGCUGUAAGGAGGAUGCGCCUCAUCGGAGCACAGUUGAAGACGACAAUGACAGCGGUGGCUUCGAUGCCUUAGAUCUUGACGAUGACAGCCACGAGCGGUUCCCCUUCGGACCCCCCUCCACCCAUUCCUCCUCUUCCUCGCACCAGUCUGAGGGCCUGGACGCCUACGACCUGGAGCAGGUCAACCUCAUGUUUAGGAAGUUCUCUCUAGAAAGACCCUUCCGGCCGUCUGUCACGUCCCUGGGGCACGUGCGGGGCCCCGGGCCCGCGGUGCAGCACACCACGCUGAGCGGCGAUAGCCUCAUCUCCCAGCUCACGCUGCUUGGGGGCAACGCGCGCGGGAGCUUCGUCCACGCGGUCAAGCCAGGCUCCCUGGCCGAGAAGGCCGGCCUCCGCGAGGGCCACCAGCUGCUGCUGCUAGAAGGCUGCGUCAAAGGCGAGAAGCAGAGCGUCCCCUUGGAGACGUGCACGAAGGAGGAGGUGCACUGGACCGUCCAGAGGUGCAGUGGGCCCGUCACACUGCACUACAAGGUCAACCAGGAAGGGUACCGGAAGCUGCUGAAGGACAUGGAGGAGGGCCUGAUCACGUCGGGGGACUCCUUCUACAUCCGGCUCAACCUGAACAUCUCCAGCCAGCUGGACGCCUGCUCCAUGUCCCUGAAGUGCGAUGACGUCGUGCACGUCCGUGACACCAUGUACCAGGACAAGCACGAGUGGCUGUGUGCACGGGUCGACCCCUUCACGGACCACGACCUGGACACGGGCACCAUCCCCAGCUACAGCCGAGCCCAGCAGCUCCUCCUGGUCAAGCUGCAGCGCCUGAUGCACCGGGGCAGCCGGGAGGAGGUGGACACGGCGCACCACACCCUGAGGGCCCUCCGGAACACCCUGCAGCCCGAAGAACCACUUCCCGCUGCGGACCCCCGGGUCAGCCCCCGCCUCUCACGAGCAAGUUUCCUUUUCGGCCAGCUCCUUCAGUUCGUCAGCAGGUCGGAGAACAAGUACAAAAGGAUGAACAGCCACGAGCGCGUGCGCAUCGUCGCGGGGAGCCCGCGGGGGAGCCUGGCCCGGUCCUCGCUGGACGCCACGAAGCUCCUGACGGAGAAGCAGGAAGAGCUGGACCCCGAGAGCGAGCUGGGCAAGAACCUCAGCCUGAUCCCCUACAGCCUGGUGCGCGCCUUCUACUGCGAGCGCCGCCGGCCCGUCCUCUUCACGCCCACCAUGCUGGCCAAGGCGCUGGUGCAGAAGCUGCUCAACUCGGGGGGCGCGAUGGAGUUCACCAUGUGCAAGCCGGAUGUUGUCACGAGAGACGAGUUCCUCAGAAAGCAGAAGACAGAGACCAUCAUCUACUCCCGAGAGAAGAACCCCAACUCCUUUGAAUGUGUCGUUCCCGCCCACAUCGAGGCUGUGGCGGCCAAGAACAAGCACUGUCUGCUGGAGGCCGGGAUCAGCUGCGCCAGGGACCUGAUCAAGUCCCGCAUCUACCCCAUCGUGCUCUUCAUCCGGGUGUCGGAGAAGAACAUCAAGAAGUUCAGGAAGAUGCUGUCCCGGCCGGAGACGGAGGAGGAGUUCCUGCGCCUGUGCCGGCUGAAGGAGAAGGAGCUGGAGGCCCUGCCGUGCCUCUACGCCAGCGUGGAGGCGGACAUGUGGGGCAGCGUGGAGGAGCUGCUCCGCGUCAUCAAAGACAAGAUCGGGGACGAGCAGCGCAAGACCGUCUGGGUGGACGAGGACCAGCUCCCUGCAGGCGUGAGUCGGGAGACAGGACCCCACGAAGGACACAGAGCCAGGUCGGAGGCCAGCGGCCCCUGGAAGCCGGAACAGCAGUUGAAUGUCACGUGUGGAAUAGGUGUGCUGCCCGUAGGGAGGGGACCUGAAAGCCAGGCAUCCCCCAGCCCUCGGGACACAGGAUAUGCGCAUUCCCAGGCAGAGGGGGAGGGGUGCCCUGCUGUUGUUUCUCGUGCAUUAAAAUUUCUCCAAUUCCUUGUUUUCAACCAAUUGUUUAAUAGUUUGCAGAGGCUCUCAGCUCUUGCACCGCUCCUCACCUACAAACCCCUCCCAGCGAGCUCAGUUCAGGCCCCGUGUCAUACGCAGGGUGAAGGUAGGGUGACCGUGCGUCCCAGUUUUUCCAGGACAGGCCUGACUUACAGCUGAUUUACAGCACCCGCUCUAAGAUGCUUCCUGAUUGGGACGAUAAAUUGUAUCGUCACCCUGGGAAGGGCCCCCCCACCUUUCACAGGCUGCCGGGAAGGUCUCACUGCCUACACCCCUGCAUCCCCUGGCUGCAGCCACAGGCUAGGCCCUCCUGACCCAGCUCCCCCGCACGUGUGCUCCGGCUCUCUGUGCAGGUAGCAUCCUACGUGAUGCAGCCUCGCUCCAUCUUUCAGUUCAGGAAGCAGCACGUGGUCCAAGGCCCUCCGGUGGGCUUACUGCCCACAGCCCAGGAGCCACACUCCCUCCACAGCAGACAGCAAAGGCUUUAUGGGCUCCAGAACCAUUCUUCUUCUUGACCCUCUCAAUGCAAACUUCCUGAGUACAGACCCAACAGGCACAGCCAAACCGGGCCAGCUCCAGCCUGGCACCAUGGCGAGUAUUCCUUCAGCAGCCGCUAAAAGACCAUAGUCCCCAGCCUCCCUGGCAGCAAGAGUGAUCAAAGAAAUGGAAGGCAAGGUCCAGGGUAGAGACAAAGCAAACAGCCCUUCCUCCCGUUUCCUGCCUAAAAUACAGACGUGAUGGCUGGAUCUGCUGCAGUCAUUUUGGAUCUUGAGGUGCCCUUGAAGAGGGAAACCCUGCACGGAGGAUGGUGGAACAGAAAGCCAGAGUCACUGAUGACACUUUGCAGC